ACUGAUGGAGUGGAAAAUAUAUUUCCAGGAAGCGUAAUUAACACGACGGAAUCUGUUCUGUAGGAAUUCAUCUCAUCUAAAAAGAGCACUGCAUUAACAUCUGGGAUUGUUUUUACCUUCAUCCACCUCAUCGCCGAGAAGAGAAUAUUCAACAAAAAUAAUAAACAUUUUAGCAUAAAGAAGAAGCGUUUUUGUCUAUUUCUGUAAUCGUUACCGAGCAACGUCGUGGGAAGACGAUUCCACAGAACACUCGCCGUUUACCAUAUGGUGAAAUUGCGAAUUCCCACGAGACCUUCAUACGAGGAACGUCUCCAGGAGCGCCAUCUGGAUGGAAAACACUCACAGUAAUCUGUAGAGCGUGGAUAAGACGGACACGAAGUUCAAAAAUCUCGGACUGUCCUGCUACAGUACGAAGAACUGCCUCGAAGACGUCAGAAAAGUUCCAGCUUUAACUCGGACGUGACACACAAACACGUAUCGACAUUUCAUACGUUAUUAAACGUGUCUACGUGGAGCGUCUGUUACUGACGUUACCGUAGAAACGAUAACAUAUCAAUUCGUUGUCGUAAUCAUCACCUUCCGAUGAAUCUGAUGAAUUUUCAGUUUCGCAGGCCGGCUCUCGCACGUCUCUCCGUCUCUCAGACAGAAUAUUUUGCGUGUAACUAAAGUCUUCCUUCACAGACACCCACAAUUCAAGGCUUUUUGUCUCCUCGCUCCUCCAUUCUCUUUUCUCUUUGCACGUGCUGAGUGUCAUUUCCUCAUUCUGACUCCAGAGACACGAAGGACAUUUGUUUUUCAUCUUGCUGCCUCGUGUGGCUCGUCUCGUUCGGUCCUUGACAUCUUUCGCAUUUCGUAUUUUCCUUCGAUACAAAUUCCAGGACAAAAUGACACAGCAAAGGCAUUUAAAGUGAAUUCUUAAAUCUAGAAUUUCUAAGCACGCGCUUUGAAGCGACUGAAUAGCUGAAGAGAAACGUGGAGCGAAGGAAUAAACCUGUUCUUUGUGUCCUUAAUUUUGCUUUUACAGAAAUACUUUCCGGGGGUCACGGUGGCUUAGUGGUUAGCACGUUCGCCUCACACCUCCAGGGUUGGGGUUCGAUUCCCGCCUCCACCUUGUGUGUGUGGAGUUUGCAUGUUCUCCCCGUGCCUCGGGGGUUUCCUCCGGGUACUCCGGUUUCCUCCCCCGGUCCAAAGACAUGCAUGGUAGUUUGAUUGGCAUCUCUGGAAAAUUGUCCGUAGUGUGUGAUUGUGUGAGUGAAUGAGAGUGUUUGUGUGUGUGUGUGCCCUGUGAUGGGUUGGCACUCCGUCCAGGGUGUAUCCUGCCUUGAUGCCCGAUGACGCCUGAGAUAGGCACAGGCUCCCCGUGACCCGAGGUAGUUCGGAUAAGCGGUAGAAGAUGAAUGAGUGAGUGAGUGAGAAAUAUUUUCCCCUCCGGUUGUCCGUACAAUUUCACGUCUAGUUAGUGUCCUUUUAAAAUAAAAACAAUUCCAUGAUCUCGGUGUUAAGAGCUUCGUAUAAUAGAUGAGAAAUAAACGUGUUGUAGUAAGUAACACUUUUCCUAUAAAAGCACGUCCAUAAGUUUGUUUUAUUCCUUUUUCACCAGUUAUUUGUUAAAACUGACAAUUUUCUAUUUACAUUGUGUUGAAUCUCGGCAAAGCAAUUUAUCACUUAUGUUAUAACAGCUGUUAUUACAGAGCGACGUACAUAAGUGCUUAAAUCUCUAUCAUUGAAUACAUUAAUGCUGGUUCACUAGGUUACAGACUUAAGCGUUAGGGUUUAUGUCAUGUUUAUGUUAUUUAGCCGUUAGCUAGAUUUGCUAGGAAAAGAUGCAUCAUUGUUAAUGUGGUCAACUGGUCAGAGACGUAAAGCUGUAUCAAGACUUUUGGA